GAUGAACGCUGGCGGCGUGCUUAACACAUGCAAGUCGAACGGAAAGGCCCUGCUUUUGUGGGGUGCUCGAGUGGCGAACGGGUGAGUAACACGUGAGUAAACUGCCCUUGACUUUGGGAUAACUUCAGGAAAAUGGGGCUCAUACCGGAUAGGAGCUACUGCUGCAUGGUGGGGGUUGGAAAGUUUCGGCGGUUGGGGCUGGACUCGCGGCUUAUCAGCUUGUUGGUGGGGUAGUGGAUUACCAAGGCUUUGACGGGUAGCCGGCCUGAGAGGGUGACCGGCGACAUUGGUACUACGAUACGGACCAGACUCCUACGGGAGGCAGCAGUGGGGAAUAUGGCAGAGUGGGCGGACGCCUGAGGCAGCAACGCCGCGUGCGUAAUGCCGGCCUUCUGGUUGUAAACCGCUUUGUCCGGUGACGAAGCGUGAUUGACGGUAAUGGGUAAGAAAGCACCGGCUAACUACGUG
rnacentral:rRNA from 1 species